AAAAAGAAAAAGAAUAGAAAAAGAAAGAAAGGAUGAAACGAAACAAAGAGAAGGGGAAAGAAAGAAGGAAGGAAAAAAAGAAAGAAGGGAAAAGGGGAAAAUUGGGAUUUCAAGGCUUGAAAGUUAAAUAGUCAAUGUGGUACCGGAAAUCUCGGCUAAGAAAGGACAAGAUAAAGUCAGCGGGAGUUAGCUCGAAAACUACGGUUAAGUCCGCUAGAUACACAUAGCUCGCUGAGAGAUCAGCUCUGUUGGAGGACACGUGUUUAGAUGUACGAUGUAGGCAUAACAAUUACUACCUCAAGUGGUAUCAUAACCCUAACGGGUGACCUAUAUACCAUAGGUGAAGGGUUUAAAUCCCAUUAAGGGCGAGAUACUUAUGUUGCCUCUUGGUGGGUGGUCAUACAUCUACAUUCGAGGUGCCCCUUCUGUUGGAGUCGAAAGGACAAUAUAUUCUAUUAUUGAGGAAUAAGAUUGACAUCUCCAAAAACGAAACUUCGAAGA